GGGUCUGUCCCAAAACCUAGGGAGCUCUCUACAUAGACAGCAUCUUACGUCAUUGGAUGCGCGUUCCCGAGAAGUAGGCUGUCCCAAUUCUUAGAUACCUUAAAAUGCUGUCUACUAAGAUACCUUAUUCUGACCCUGUAAUAAGAGAGCAUUAGACCCUUCCUCAGCCGGUAAGGCAAUCCCAUGAUGCAGCGCGGGGCAGCACAGCGUAGCUCAACUUCUUCCAUCAUGGCGGACGGAAGUGGAUCGGCCAGCGCCGAAGUCAUUUUUAAAUGACUGUUGUUCUGGAAUUGGGGCUUGCGGACAAAGUAAAAGAAAUGGGAAAACUUAAAAAAUAAAUACAAUGCUGAACAUCUCCUGCUCCCAUGCAGAUGUUGUGCAGAGUGACACAGGCAGCAAUCACCUCUGGCACAAACCUUGGGUUCACUUCUUGAGCAUGCAGGAAAAUUGACCUCCAUCUGGUCUUCAGCAUCCCAAAACCACGUUCAAUUGUAGAACGUG